UGUUUAGUGCUAACUGACCCCCUCUGCC
rnacentral:piRNA from 1 species